GACGAACGCUGGCGGCGUGCUUAACACAUGCAAGUCGAACGGAAAGGCCCUGCUUUUGUGGGGUGCUCGAGUGGCGAACGGGUGAGUAACACGUGAGUAACCUGCCCUUGACUUUGGGAUAACUUCAGGAAACUGGGGCUAAUACCGGAUAGGAGCUCCUGCUGCAUGGUGGGGGUUGGAAAGUUUCGGCGGUUGGGGAUGGACUCGCGGCUUAUCAGCUUGUUGGUGGGGUAGUGGCUUACCAAGGCUUUGACGGGUAGCCGGCCUGAGAGGGUGACCGGCCACAUUGGGACUGAGAUACGGCCCAGACUCCUACGGGAGGCAGCAGUGGGGGAUAUUGCACAAUGGGCGGAAGCCUGAUGCAGCAACGCCGCGUGCGGGAUGACGGCCUUCGGGUUGUAAACCGCUUUCGCCUGUGACGAAGCGUGAGUGACGAUAAUGGGUAAAGAAGCACCGGCUAACUACGUG
rnacentral:rRNA from 1 species